GUUUUCCAUUUUCUUGAAAUUAAAAAGAAAAAAAACCGAAAUAAUGAAAAAUUCGGGGUUAGCCUUUGCCAAAGUGUACCCACCCACAAUUUACCCAGAAUUUUUAUUCAUGCAACCCCAGAUCACUGAAUACGAAAUGUAUAUCAUUUUUCACGCGGGGUUCCAACUAUGGCGGCUAGAUGAUGAAGGAAUAAUAAGCAACGUACUGCUAAAUAAAAGGACUGAAGCAGCGUAUUGUUGAUAAUCAGACCUAUGCUUGGUACAAAAUUGUAAUGGAAUUAUGGAAAUCACAAUAUAAAACACAGUUUUUUGUUCAUGAUUAGUUCUCAACAAAAUUCUGGGGAAACAGGUGGAAUACCAUAAGCACCGCUUCCACAAUCAUCAACAUGUUGUAAUCUUCUUUCUUUGGAAGCAGCAGUCCUUUAUUACUUUUCUUUUAGUAAAUCCCUGAUCUGCGUAAUAUUGCAAGUUCUUUUUUAUCGGCCUCCUUAUAUAUAUAUAUAUAUAUAUAUAUAUAUCUAUAUUCACUAAUACUCGGGGUGUUUUUUUUUUUUUAGCCGCUGAAGUGAGGAUCAAAAAUCAAUAGCUCGGAAGGUUAAAGGUUGUUAAGAUAGUAUAUACAUAUAUAUGUACAUAUACAUAUACAUAUAUACAUUUUGAAUUACAUACUUCAGUAGGGAAUGGUAUAAAUUUUUUCGUACGGUAAUA
rnacentral:sRNA from 1 species